AUUGAACGCUGGCGGCAUGCCUUACACAUGCAAGUCGAACGGUAACAGGUCUUAGGAUGCUGGCGAGUGGCGAACGGGUGAGUAAUACAUCGGAACGUGCCCAGACGUGGGGGAUAACGAGGCGAAGGCUUUGCUAAUAACGCAUACGAUCUAAGGAUGAAAGCAGGGGACCGCAAGGCCUUGCGCGUUUGGAGCGGCCGAUGGCAGAUUAGGUUGUUGGUGGGAUAAAAGUUGACCAAGCCGAGGAUCUGUAGCUGGUCUGAGAGGACGACCAGCCACACUGGGACUGAGCCACGGCCCAGACUCCUACGGGAGGCAGCAGUGGGGUAUUUUGGACUAUGGGCGAAAGCCUGAUCCAGCAAUGCCGCGUGCAGGAUGAAGGCCUUCGGGUUGUAAACUGCUUUUGUACGGAACGAAAAGGCUCUGGCUAAUACCUGGGGCACAUGACGGUACCGUACGAAUAAGCACCGGCUAACUACGUG
rnacentral:rRNA from 1 species